GAAAUGCGAUAAGUAAUGUGAAUUGCAGAAUUCAGUGAAUCAUCGAAUCUUUGAACGCACAUUGCGCCCGCCAGUAUUCUGGCGGGCAUGCCUGUUCGAGCGUCAUUUCAACCAUCAAGCCCCCGGCUUGUGUUGGGGACCUGCGGCUGCCCGCAGGCCCUGAAAACCAGUGGUGGGCUCGCUGUCACACCGAGCGUAGUAGCAUACAUCUCGCUCAGGGCGUGCUGCGGGUUCCGGCCGUUAAAAGCCUUUUUUACCCAAGGUUGACCUCGGAUCAGGUAGGAAGACCCGCUGAACUUAAGC
rnacentral:misc_RNA from 1 species